GGUUCUAUGGUGUAAUGGUCAGCACUCUGGGCUUUGAAUCCAGUGAUCCGAGUUCAAGUCUCGGUAGAACCU
rnacentral:tRNA from 1 species